UCCUUCACUCUCCGGGGAGCCUAUGCUAAAGUCUCCCACUAUAUUCUUGUCUAAAAGGCGCAUCUCUUUCCUUCUCUCACUGUUGGGGAAACUCCAUUCCGGAGUAUCUCUCUUCUCUUCUUCAUUCUGUCUCUCUGGGGAACUCCAGCCUGGAGUAUCUCUCAUAUCCUUAUCUAAAAGAGAACCAAUUAAGAACCAGCAUUUAUUUUUCUUAAUUUUGGCGGCUUUUUCAUCAAACAUUCCGUUUCUUUUACGUGGCUAAAGCCUGAGAGCCAUCAUCAUUUUAAUUAAGUGGCUUUAUUAUCACCGGACACCGACUCCUUCAGCUGACCACACUGGAAAUCUGCUGUAUCAGAUCUCCUUCAACUGAACCGAUCAACUUACGGCAGGACAUCGAAGCUCUGCCAAACGACCAAACUACACUCCGGAACCAACAAAGUCCAGAGGCAUGGUAAAGCGUCACCAGCUCGCACAGUCCCAGCUCAUGACGGUUCACGGAUAGUAAGACCAGCUGAAAGUUAUCUGCCUGAUCUGGGUGAUGUACUAACCACUUGAUUAAUUAAAUCCGCCCGUUUAUUCUUUUACAAAUCAUUAUUUUUUUUAGUCCAAAUUACCAUUUACCUAGUGAGGUUAGCUAUCUGGCUUCUCCUCACCAUAAUCAGACACACUCUCCAUCUCUCACACACACGCACACACAUUCCACAGACACACGCACGUACACACACACACCCGUAGUCACGCAUACACACACAAAUACAUCACAUGCCACUGUAUAGAGAUUUCACUGCUGUUAUUCCAUAUAAUAGCAAAUAAAUGCUUAAUCUUAGACCAAAUUAAGCCUUGUGUGUUUCCUUGUGAGACCUGUGGGUCCAUUUAACCAAGAAUUCUAGACUUUUGAUAUGAGACUGAUCUAUUGUAUUGUGACUGGGAUUUCUUUGUGAUCCUGCCUAAAUUAAUAAUUCCUUGCAAUAAUCUAAGGUGGUGCCCCAUAAAACGAGUGCAGAUAAUUAAAUUAUCUUACGUAGGUCUCCUACAAUUAAGUGUGUCUGAGUUGGGACUCCUCCAGCAGUGUCCCUUAAUUCUACUGUGCAGACGCUUUUAUCCAAAGCAAUGUACAUCUGAGAGUAGAUACAACACAGAUACAGCAAGGAUACAGUCAGGAUAUAGGAGAUAUAAAGAGGAGCUAUAUAGAGCUUUCCAUGAUUGCUGUAGCAUAUUAAGUAUUGUUUACUUAUGAAACUGUAGGCUGCAGAGGUAAUACAUUAGCCUCAUUUGGCCAUUGCUGCAUAUCACACAUUUUUGAUUGCUUGAUAUUUUGCCUUAUAGCUCUGUUAUUUCAGAAAAUGGCUUCAAAAAAGACACACAAGGCCAUGGAUGACAGAGAGUGGCUAUCUCAGCUGAGGUCAUUUUCGACCACAGGAGUCUGGCCAUCAACUGCUGGGAACAGGUCUGCCUCCAGGCAAAAAAAAAAUGGCACGACCUCUAUCAUAAGAUGGAAAAGUGUCCCCUGCAACUUAGGGGCCAGAGGACCCUCCUGACAGAGCCGCAGAGAUGCUCGUGCAGAUUUCAUACUCAGAAGGUUCCUCUUGCUCCUGGUGCUUCAUCCACCGCCACUGGCCAGAGCUCGCAUUCAUCCACCAGUAAUGUGUCGAGUCCAGCACACACUUCAUCUGUGGUAAAUUUGACCUUCAAAUACUUGUGGGAAGUGCGGACAGUUUCGCACACAAGAGACUGGCCAUAGUCAGUAUAAGGGCAAAAUAUAUUGCAAAAUUCUGAGAAUGUAAGCAAGGAACAGUGAUUGAACAUGAUGAGGCAGAAAAUAAAGCCACCGAACCUCUAAUCAUUCUGUUGUUGUUUGCCUCUGAGGAUUGUUGAUGGAAAGGAAGAAUACUUCAGGAUUUGUAAAGGUAUAGUUAGGUAAACCUUCACAAAUCCUUAAGUUUUCUUCCUUUUUUCCUUUAAUAAUGUGCAUAUGUUAAUGUUUCUUUGAGUGUUAGCAGUUUUAUUUCCCAGAAUGUAUCAUUAUUGUAAGUUUUUGUAACAUUGUUUUUGUUGUUGUUGUUUUAUUUGUUGUAAAAUAGUUGUAAAAUAUGUCCAGUUAUGUGAAAUUUCAGUGAUAUCUAGUUUCAAAUACAUCUAGUUGCAUACAAUGGUGUAUCAUCUCUCUUCUUUGUUGAAACUUUAAUGGCAUUAAAUGUCAUAAUGUCAACAACAAAUGUAAAUCUGACUACAUAAUACAGAUAGCGUUUGGAUGACUUUAGGUACAUUACAACAAUUAAAUCACCUACAUUCUUUAUUAUAGUUCUACAUUGUUAGUUGUAGUUGUAAGAAUAACCAAGUUAUGAGUGUUUAAAUUUUUAAGUCAUUGAGAGAACUUGGAAUUCGAUACCUGAACACAAAUUGCAAUUAUUAUCCAUAUGGUUCUGAGCGGGAUUCAAACUCACGCCAGAGUUCUUUUCCCCCUUUUUUCUUCCCCCUCUUCCCCCU